GACGAACGCUGGCGGCGUGCUUAACACAUGCAAGUCGAACGGAAAGGCCCUGCUUUUGUGGGGUGCUCGAGUGGCGAACGGGUGAGUAACACGUGAGUAACCUGCCCUUGACUUUGGGAUAAAUUCAGGAAACUGGGGCUAAUACCGGAUAGGAGCUCCUGCUGCAUGGUGGGGGUUGGAAAGUUUCGGCGGUUGGGGAUGGACUCGCGGCUUAUCAGCUUGUUGGUGGGGUAGUGGCUUACCAAGGCUUUGACGGGUAGCCGGCCUGAGAGGGUGACCGGCCACAUUGGGACUGAGAGACGGCCCAGACUCCUACGGGAGGCAGCAGUGGGGAAUAUUGCACAAUGGGCGGAAGCCUGAUGCAGCAACGCCGCGUGCGGGAUGACGGCCUUCGGGUUGUAAACCUCUUUCGCCUGUGACGAAGCGUGAGUGACGGUAAUGGGUAAAGAAGCACCGGCUAACUACGUG
rnacentral:rRNA from 1 species